AACUCUGUGGCAUGUAAACACUGCAUGCUUAAUAAUCAUACGGCUCACCUUAAAAGGUCUCUAUCAUAGUGAAACAAAGCCAGUUGUUUUUAAUUCAAGGUGCCUGUCGCAAAGUUGUUACGAAGAUAGUUGCAAGGGCAGGAUUCCCCGUCACACAUGUCCCGUGCAUUAUGGGGAAGCGAGGUAAUGAACGGUAGAUGCGGCGUGGAAUUUGCUGUGAAUCGGAACUGACUACCUGGUGCGGCAACCUACUGACGUCCUUUCCACUUCGCAGAUCCAGACCCAUCGCUCUGUAUCCCCCGCCCCGCUGACAUCCGUUUGGCUGCCUCUAUUACUUCCCUGAAGGUAUUGUCCGCCCCUUCAUUUGGCUGCAUCGGCCUAGCACCCUGCCAGCAGCUGAGGACUCGCCGUCCUGCCUAGCUUGGCCUCUGGUGUUGCUGCACUAGCCUGCCCUCAGGUCACAGAGCAUGAUACACCUGUGCUUUUAACGUGCGCGUGUCAGUAUUCACGAUAGCUGCUACAUGGAUACGUACACCCGGAUACGGCCGAGGGUCUAGCAAGCUUGCGUGCACGAAAGCCCGUUGACCCGUUUACACGGGCCAACGGAGCUAGCUACUCCCGAGGUGCUCGCGUCCUCGGGGUUUUUAGCCAGUGCCACUGAGCUUACCAGGGCACAUGCUCGACAGCACGCCGGCAUGGGCGCCUGAGAAAGCCGAUACAGGAAAUCAUUGGCAGCUAAAAGAAUCUUAGCGAUGACAGGAGGUCCCCGCAUUAGUGGCCAUCGCCGUCGUAGCUGCAGCCGCGCUUUUGCUCCCCUUGAGUCCGAGAGUGGCAGCAGCUUUUGGACCCCAACGCCAACCCCUCGCAGUUGCCGCGUUGCCGCCCCUGUCUGUGCCGCCCCUUGCUGAGGCGCUGCCGCGGACUUCCAGGACGAACCUGGUGGGAGAUAGAGUGGUCAACCGCUGUGCACGUUUGGGAUGUAACAUGUACGGCCCGAUGACGCUGCAGCUGCGCGUUUGGUUGAACCAGAGGGAUUGAAAACUGACCCGAUAGGCUGUUGUCCGGUGCCCUGGGCCUUUAGGGUUUGGGAGGCCUAGAACGUUUGGAUACGGGUGCGACGCCCCUGCUUCUCCGCGCACAGUCAACGCCUGGCCUUUUUCGUUGCGAGGAGGGGGGGAGUGGAAUGGUUCGUGGGUUAAUUUGCGGUUUUACUUGGGCUGUUGUCGGGCGCGUUUUGGGGAGGUGGACGGGCAGCAGUGCUCAAUUUUUCAUUAUUAUAUUCAUGCGUUAGAAUGGCUUUUCGUUCGUAUUUCGGACGUUGUGCCGCGAUCCUGUUGUGUGGCUGGUUCGUGUAUGUCUGUGGAAGGCUGUGACGUUGCCUGCUUUCUGUUUCGGCCUGUCUUCCUCUUGCUGCCCCUGGUCCUGUUUCUUUAAUUCCUGCAUUUCCCUGGUCGUCCCCUUUGACCUAUCCUAAGACACUGCGGCCAGCCGCUUUCUGUCUUCUCUGUUGGUGGAGCCCUGUUGUGGUGUUGCCUGUCUGUAUCCUUUGUGGUACUUCGGCUAGGGUGCUGCAAGU
rnacentral:lncRNA from 1 species